AUGAACAUGGAAAGUGACUUCCACAUGGCCAAAGGGGAAGGAGAGACUAGCUACAUCAAUAACUCGAGGAUUCAGCAAAAAGCUUUGCUUGAGACUGAGGUGGUACUUGAGAAGGCUGUGAGAGAAGUGCGCAUGGAUCUCCACCAGCCAGUAAUGACUGCUGUUGAUUUAGGGUGCUCUUCUGGUAAGAACACACUCUUCUUCGUCUCCAAGGUGAUCAAAGUGCUAGGCCAUGAUAGUGACGAAAAAUCAAGGUGCAACCCCGUGGAGCUCCAGUUCUUUCUCAAUGGUCUACCAGGAAACAACUUCAACCAUGUCUUCCGUUCACUCGAACGGUUCAAAGAGUCCAUAACAGCAAGACAUAAAGAAAAUACACCGCUACCACCUUUCUAUAUCGCUGGGUUACCAGGCUCCUACUACACUAGGCUUUUCCCUCGCCAAAGUUGUCACCUCUUUCACUCGUCAUUUUGCCUCCAUUGGCGCUCCCGGGUUCCUGCUGGAUUAGAGGAAGGAGGAAGAGAAUACCUAAAUGAGGGAAACAUUUACAUUGCUAAGACUACGCCAGCUGGUGUUGCGGAAUUGUACCAACGACAAUUCCAGAAUGACAUGUUAUUGUUCCUCAAGUUGCGGUAUGAAGAGCUAGUGCUUGGUGGGCAAAUGGUGCUGACGUUCCUUGGGAGGAAAUAUGAGGACAUAUACAACAACGGAUAUCUGAACCAUCCAUGGGGAUUACUUGCACGAUCUCUGCAAUCUCUUGUCGAAGAUGGUCUGGUGAAGAAAGAAAAGCUUGACUCCUUCAAUCUCCCCAUUUACACGCCAUCGAUCAAUGAAGUGAAGGCCGUAAUCGGGCAAAGCGAGUUGUUCAAUGUGAGCCACAUCAAAUUGUUCGAGUCCAACUGGGAUCCUCAUGACGACUCACAAGGGGAUGAUGCACACAAUGCCAUUCAGAGCGCGAUUAACAUUGCAAAGAGCUUGAGGACGGUGUUCGGACCCCUACUUGCAAGCCAUUUCGGUGAAUCCUUGCUGUCACGACCGGAUUUUUGGGAUAUAAAUUCCCAGAAAAACGGCUUGUGUGCUCACCAGCCCCAGGAUUACUGUUAG
rnacentral:rRNA from 1 species